UACGAAGGGGGCUAGCGUUGCUCGGAAUGACUGGGCGUAAAGGGCGCGUAGGCGGAUGGCACAGUCAGAUGUGAAAUUCCCGGGCUUAACCCGGGGGCUGCAUUUGAUACGUGUGAUCUAGAGUGAGGAAGAGGGUCGUGGAAUUCCCAGUGUAGAGGUGAAAUUCGUAGAUAUUGGGAAGAACACCGGUGGCGAAGGCGGCGACCUGGUCCUUGACUGACGCUGAGGCGCGAAAGCGUGGGGAGCAAACAGG
rnacentral:rRNA from 1 species